UACGUAGGGUGCGAGCGUUAAUCGGAAUUACUGGGCGUAAAGCGUGCGCAGGCGGUUUUGUAAGUCAGAUGUGAAAGCCCCGGGCUCAACCUGGGAAUGGCAUUUGGGACUGCAAGGCUUGAGUGCGGCAGAGGAGACUAGAAUUCCUGGUGUAGCAGUGAAAUGCGUAGAUAUCAGGAGGAAUACCGAUGGCGAAGGCAGGUCUCUGGGCUGACACUGACGCUCAUGCACGAAAGCGUGGGGAGCAAACAGG
rnacentral:rRNA from 1 species